rnacentral:rRNA from 1 species
GUAGUCAUAUGCUUGUCUCAAAGAUUAAGCCAUGCAUGUCUAAGUAUAAGCACUUUAUACUGUGAAACUGCGAAUGGCUCAUUAAAUCAGUUAUCGUUUAUUUGAUAGUACCUUACUACAUGGAUACCUGUGGUAAUUCUAGAGCUAAUACAUGCUAAAAACCCCGACUUCAGGAAGGGGUGUAUUUAUUAGAUAAAAAACCAACGCCCUUCGGGGCUCCUUGGUGAAUCAUAAUAACUUAACGAAUCGCAUGGCCUUGCGCCGGCGAUGGUUCAUUCAAAUUUCUGCCCUAUCAACUUUCGAUGGUAGGAUAGUGGCCUACCAUGGUGGCAACGGGUAACGGGGAAU